rnacentral:rRNA from 1 species
GACGAACGCUGGCGGCGUGCCUAAUACAUGCAAGUAGAACGCACAGUUUAUACCGUAGCUUGCUACACCAUAAACUGUGAGUUGCGAACGGGUGAGUAACGCGUAGGUAACCUGCCUGGGAGCGGGGGAUAACUAUUGGAAACGAUAGCUAAUACCGCAUAAUAUUGAUUAUUGCAUGAUAAUUGAUUGAAAGAUGCUAUUGCAUCACUACCAGAUGGACCUGCGUUGUAUUAGCUAGUAGGUGAGGUAACGGCUCACCUAGGCGACGAUACAUAGCCGACCUGGGAGGGUGAUCGGCCACACUGGGACUGAGACACGGCCCAGACUCCUACGGGAGGCAGCAGUAGGGAAUCUUCGGCAAUGGACGAAAGUCUGACCGAGCAACGCCGCGUGAGUGAAGAAGGUUUUCGGAUCGUAAAGCUCUGUUGUAAGAGAAGAACGGGUGUGAGAGUGGAAAGUUCACACUGUGACGGUAUCUUACCAGAAAGGGACGGCUAACUACGUG